CGAACGCUGGCGGCGUGCUUAACACAUGCAAGUCGAACGGUGAAGCGCCUUCCUUUUUGGUGGGUGUGGAUGAGUGGCGAACGGGUGAGUAACACGUGAGUAACCUGCCCCCUUCUUCUGGAUAACCGCAUGAAAGUGUGGCUAAUACGGGAUAUUCUGGGUCUGUCGCAUGAUGGGUCUGGGAAAGAUAUUGUUUCGGUGGGGGAUGGGCUCGCGGCCUAUCAGCUUGUUGGUGGGGUGAUGGCCUACCAAGGCGGUGACGGGUAGCCGGCCUGAGAGGGUGGACGGUCACACUGGGACUGAGACACGGCCCAGACUCCUACGGGAGGCAGCAGUGGGGAAUAUUGCACAAUGGGCGCAAGCCUGAUGCAGCGACGCCGCGUGAGGGAUGGAGGCCUUCGGGUUGUGAACCUCUUUCGCCAGUGAAGCAGGCCUGCCUCGUUUGUGGGUGGGUUGACGGUAUCUGGAUAAGAAGCGCCGGCUAACUACGUG
rnacentral:rRNA from 1 species